rnacentral:rRNA from 1 species
CGGCUACCACAUCUAAGGAAGGCAGCAGGCGCGUAAAUUACCCAAUCCUGACUCAGGGAGGUAGUGACAAGAAAUAGCAAACCGGGAACCUCAUGGUUUCACGGUAUUGCAAUGAGAACAAUUUAAAACCCUUAGCGAGAAUCAAGUGGAGGACAAGUCUGGUGCCAGCACCCGCGGUAAUUCCAGCUCCACUAGCGUAUAUUAAAGUUGUUGCAGUUAAAAAGCUCGUAGUUGAACCUCUGUCUGGGCUAGUUUUGGCUUUGGUCAGGCUAGUUCUAGGCAUCCGCCUACAAGACUUAGAGGGCAUUCAGUUGUUCACUAGGAGGAGUAGGCAUUUUACUUUGAAGAAAUUAGAGUGUUUAAGGCAGGCAAUCGCCCGCAUAUAUUAGCAUGGAAUAAUAGAAUAGGACACUUUUCCAUUUCGUUGGUUAUUGGAAUCGUGUAAUGAUUAAUAGGGACAGUUGUGGGCAUUUGUAUUUAAUUGUCAGAGGUGAAAUUCUUGGAUUUAUUAAAGACAAACUAACGCGAAAGCAUUUGCCAAGGAUGUUUUCAUUAAUCAAGGACGAAAGUUAGGGGAUCAAAGACGAUCAGAUACCGUCCUAGUCUUAACUAUAAACUAUUCCGACUCAAUGUUUGACUGGCUUAUAUAACCAGUUGAGCGUUGUAUGAGAAAUCAAAGUCUUUAGGUUCUGGGGGGAGUAUGGUUGCAAAGCUGAAACUUAAAGGAAUUGACGGAAGAGCACAACCAGGAGUGGAUUCUGCGGCUUAAUUUGACUCAACACGGGGAAACUUACCAGGUUAAAACAAUAGUGGGAUUGACAGUUUGAGAGCGCUUUCUUGAUUGGUUGGGUGGUGGUGCAUGGCCGUUCUUAGUUGGUGGAGUGAUUUGUCUGCUUAAUUGCGUUAACGAACGAGACCUUAACCUGCUUACUAGACUGGCGAUCAUCAAUCGUUAGCUCUUCUUAGAGGGACUUUGGUUGUUUUAACUCCAAGGAAGUUUGAGGCAAUAACAGGUCUGUGAUGCCCUUAGAUAUCCUGGGCCGCACGCGUCAUACAAUGACUAGUUCAGAAAGUUUUCUCCUGACCCGAAAGGGGAUGGGUAAUCUUGAUAAUACUAGUCGUGUUAGGGAUCGAUCUUUGCAAUUAUAGAUCUUGAACGAGGAAUUCCUAGUAAGUGCGGUUCAUCAGACCGUACUGAUUACGUCCCUGCUCUUUGUACACACCGCCCGUCGCCUCUACCGAGUGGGUGGUCCGGU